UACGUAGGUGGCGAGCGUUAUCCGGAAUUAUUGGGCGUAAAGAGUGAGUAGGCGGUUUAUUAAGUCUAAGGUUAAAGGCUGUGGCUCAACCAUAGUAUGCUUUAGAAACUGAUAGACUAGAGUGCGAGAGAGGUUGAUGGAAUUCCAUGUGUAGCGGUGAAAUGCGUAGAUAUAUGGAGGAACACCAGUGGCGAAGGCGGUCAACUGGCUCGCAACUGACGCUCAGUCACGAAAGCGUGGGGAGC
rnacentral:rRNA from 1 species